rnacentral:rRNA from 1 species
UACGUAGGGUGCGAGCGUUGUCCGGAAUUACUGGGCGUAAAGGGCGCGUAGGCGGCCACCGCAAGUCAGUUGUGAAAUCUCUGGGCUUAACCCAGAACGGUCAGCUGAUACUGCGGGGCUAGAGUGCAGAAGGGGCAACUGGAAUUCUCGGUGUAGCGGUGAAAUGCGUAGAUAUCGAGAGGAACACCUGCGGCGAAGGCGGGUUGCUGGGCUGACACUGACGCUGACAGCGCGAAAGCUAGGGGAGCGAACGGG